CUGACCAUUGUUAAAGCAUAUUAUCAUACUUAUGGCCAACUAAUGAACCUGCAGAAGUCUACAGUCAUCUUCGACUCCAAGACAAAGGUCUAGAUGAAGCAAGUGAUUAGGAAUAGACUGGAGAUUCCAGAGCAGAUCGAAACCUUGACCUAUAUAGGGGUUCCUAUCAUAGGGUGAUGACUUCAGAGGGCUGACUUUAAGCCC
rnacentral:lncRNA from 1 species